rnacentral:rRNA from 1 species
GACGUAGGAGGCGAGCGUUAUCCGGAUUUACUGGGCGUAAAGAGCGCGCAGGCGGUCGUUCAAGUCGCGUGUGAAAGCCCCCGGCUCAACUGGGGAGGGUCACGCGAUACUGAUCGACUGGAAGGCAGGAGAGGGUAGUGGAAUUCCCGGUGUAGUGGUGAAAUGCGUAGAUAUCGGGAGGAACACCAGUGGCGAAGGCGACUACCUGGCCUGUUCUGACGCUGAGGCGCGAAGCUAGGGAGCAACGGG